CAAUAGCGUAUAUUAAAGUUGUUGCAGUUAAAAAGCCCGUAGUUGGAUUUCUGGUAGGAGCGACCGUGCCGAACUUGAUUGUUCGAGUAUUGUGUUGUCUUCAGCCAUCCUCGUGGAGAACUUUUCUAACAUUAACUUGUUGGGAUUGGGACCCGCGUCGUUUACUGUGAAAAAAUUAGAGUGUUUAAAGCAGGCAUUAGCUUGAAUACAUUAGCAUGGAAUAAUAAGAUAGGACUUUGGUACUAUUUUGUUGGUUUGCAUACCAAAUUAAUGAUCAACAGGAACAGUUUGAGGAUAUUCGUAUGAACAUGUCAGAGGUGAAAUUCUUGGAUUUUGAUCAGACGAACUACUGCGAAAGCAUUUAUCAAGGAUGUUUUCAUUAA
rnacentral:rRNA from 1 species